AGAAAGAUACUUAAGGUGUUGGAAAUAAAGUUGGAUUUAAUUUUGCCUCAAAAAGGAAGGGAGACAGUGUACUUAGGCCAUCGCCCCAGUGGCCGUGUCUGUAAAAUUCAAGGGAAAUCACAUUGGACGUGUCGCGUCCAAGAUCGCGCGCACCAGUUAAGUGUUAUAUUGUAACACUUCAAUUACUUAAACUCUAAACUCUUCUGCGCGCACCAGUUAAGUGUUAUAUUGUAACACUUCAAAUACUUAAACUCUAAACUCUUCUCCCGGUCCUUCUCUUUCAUACCUAACGCAAUUCCUCCACCUUGCACCACCACUGCCUCCAACUCCGAGCAGCACAGGUGCGAGCUCGCAGAAGCGGAAAGUAAGUCGCAAAAACGGCCAAGGAAGUGAGGAAGCAUAAGGUCGCAGGUGCAAUGGUUUUCCCGCACCUGCGUGACCGCAGAUGUGGCAGAAGGACCGCAAAAGCAGAUUUGGCCUUAUAGCUUGACUCCGCAGAAGAGGAGAUUAAAGCGAGUCCGCAGCAGCGGAAAUUUCGACGCAAGUGCGGAGUUGGCCGCAGAAGCGGGCUCUGAGGCGCACCUGCGAGAUCGCAGAAACGGCUAAGUUGUCGCAAGUGCGUAAAGCUUGGGCAGAAACUAUAAAUACGAGGGUUCCGAGAUUUUCCACCAUUUCUAUCAUUUUGAGCUCGGAUUUUGGAGGUUUUGAGAGGAUUUUCAAGAGGGAUUCUUGAGAUUCGGGACUUUUGGAUGACGACUUGCGAGGCAGGGGCAUUUUGGAGUAGAGUCUUGGCUCGGGUUGAGAUCCAGGUGUUUCCGGACAUGGUGGGCAUUGAUAUUGUGCACGGUUGAUCUUUGGAGAUUUACGAGGUAGCUGCACGACAUUCGUAGUCCUUGUUUCUCCUUCCUUAUCUUUUCUUUAUUUGUACUUUGAUACAAACUCUCGUAGACAUUUCUUCCUAGACUGGUUGUAUAGAUACUCAUGAGCUCAAUGACACCCUGAUUUAGGAGUUGUUUUCUGCACAUGUGUUUGGGUUUUACCCCAUUUUUCUGAAA